UACGUAGGGAGCAAGCGUUGUCCGGAAUCAUUGGGCGUAAAGCGCGCGUAGGUGGCCCUGUAAGUCCGUUGUGAAAGUCAAAGGCUCAACCUUUGAAAGCCGAUGGAUACUGCAGGGCUAGAGUACGGAAGAGGCGAGUGGAAUUCCUGGUGUAGCGGUGAAAUGCGCAGAUAUCAGGAAGAACACCCGUGGCGAAGGCGGCUCUCUGGGACGGUACUGACGCUGAGACGCGAAAGCGUGGGGAGCGAACAGG
rnacentral:rRNA from 1 species